AGUGAACGCUGGCGGUAGGCCUAACACAUGCAAGUCGAACGGCAGCACAGUAAGAGCUUGCUCUUACGGGUGGCGAGUGGCGGACGGGUGAGGAAUACAUCGGAAUCUACUUUUUCGUGGGGGAUAACGUAGGGAAACUUACGCUAAUACCGCAUACGACCUACGGGUGAAAGCAGGGGAUCUUCCGACCUUGCGCGAUUGAAUGAGCCGAUGUCGGAUUAGCUAGUUGGCGGGGUAAAGGCCCACCAAGGCGACGAUCCGUAGCUGGUCUGAGAGGAUGAUCAGCCACACUGGAACUGAGACACGGUCCGGACUCCUACGGGAGGCAGCAGUGGGGAAUAUUGGACAAUGGGCGCAAGCCUGAUCCAGCCAUACCGCGUGGGUGAAGAAGGCCUUCGGGUUGUAAAGCCCUUUUGUUGGGAAAGAAAAGCAGCAGGUUAAUACCCCGCUGUUCUGACGGUACCCAAAGAAUAAGCACCGGCUAACUUCGUG
rnacentral:rRNA from 1 species